rnacentral:rRNA from 1 species
AAAGGAAUAGACGGGGGCCCGCACAAGCGGAGGAACAUGUGGUUUAAUUCGAUGAUACGCGAGGAACCUUACCCGGGCUAGAACGCCGAGCGAAUACAGGGGAAACUUUGUAGCCAGCAAUGGCGGUCGGCGAGGUGCUGCAUGGUUGUCGUCAGCUCGUGCCGUGAGGUGUCGGCUUAAGUGCCAUAACGAGCGCAACCCCUAUCGGUAGUUGCCAGCGGGUCAAGCCGGGAACUCUGCCGAAACUGCCAGCGUAAGCUGCGAGGAAGGCGGGGAUGACGUCAAAUCAGCACGGCCCUUACGUCCGGGGCGACACACGUGUUACAAUGGCCGGUACAGAGGGCAGCUACCUGGUGACAGGAUGCGAAUCUCCAAAGCCGGUCUCAGUUCGGAUCGGAGUCUGCAACUCGACUCCGUGAAGCUGGAUUCGCUAGUAAUCGCGCAUCAGCCACGGCGCGGUGAAUACGUUCCCGGGCCUUGUACACACCGCCCGU